rnacentral:misc_RNA from 1 species
GGUUUGCGGGCCUUUAUUAAUAGAGGUCGGCUCUCCUGAAAUGCAUUAGCGGAACCGUUUGCAGUCCCGUCACUAGUGUGAUAAUUAUCUACACUGUGAUGAUUGCUCUCUGACUAGUUCAGCUGCUAAUCGUCCAUUGUCGGACAAUAUUUAAUGAACUUCUUGACCUCAAAUCAGGUAGGACUACCCGCUGAACUUAA